GCAGAAGUAGUUCACCGGUAGAAUACAACCUUGCCAAGGUUGGGGUCGCGGGUUCGAAUCCCGUCUUCUGCUCCA
rnacentral:tRNA from 1 species